GGGGCUGAUCGGUUUCGACGGUGACCUGUUCGUCGCAGGGAAGCGUGCCGAGAACGCAGGGUCCGCUCGUGGAUGUCCCCUGCAAAAGAAUAAGUGCUAAAUCUAACCGCACUGAGUUCGCUCUCGCUGCCUGAGCUUCGCGCCAGGACUAACCAGUGAGCAGCCGCUCCGUUCACUCUCCUUCGUCUUCGGGGAGAAGCUGAGCGUCGUUAAGAAGACUUGCUUUGAUGGCUGAGCUUCAGGGCCAUCAAGGGACUUUCACUGCAGAUAUGCCCGCCGUCCGUCGUCUGCGACAUAGACGGGGGCAGAAAAACCGCCGCACGGCCAGCAGACUACGCACGUAGAAGACUGAGGGUACGGUCAUCGGACCGGGGUUCAAUUCCCCGCAGCUCCACCA
rnacentral:tmRNA from 1 species